CAACUACUCCCUCUGUCCCAAAUUUCUUGUCUUAGAUUUGUCUAGAUACGGAUGUAUCUAAUACUAAAAUGUGACUUGAUACAUCCGUAUCUAGACAAAUCUAAGACAAGAAUUUUGGAACAGAGGGAGUACUUU
rnacentral:pre_miRNA from 1 species